GAUGGGAGUAGCCAUUUUCUUUUCUCUUCGUCAGAGAAGAUAAAAUCAGAAACCUUCUUAUGCUUUAUUUUCUUUGGAUUUGGUCAGGUUUUUUGUCCUACGUUGGAACUGAAUUAAUUUCAGCAUGACACUGUAAGAUGGCGAGCCUUCCCAGUGAGAUGAACAUUGAUUGUCGCGAGAGCUAGGUUCCAACCAACACCCGAGGAAUUGGGAGACAUGUCCUCACUGCGUGCUAGUGCCGGAAGAGCAGGAGAUUGAAAUCUGCAGCAGGGAGCCAAGGAUAACAAAAGACCUCCACACUGCAGUUGGAUGGUUGCAGAAAAACCUCUGUGUCUUCAGAAGAUUGGUGAAAGAGCUGAGGUUCCCCCAACUGAAAGAGGAAGCUCUUCUUCAGCUUUCACAGGCCAAAAUGGCUGACGACCAGCAACUGGCCAAAGAACCUUUUGUUUUCCAAUUCCAAUUUAAGGAGAAUAUGUACAUUUUUCUCAAUGAGUGCAUGGACAAAAGGGGCCUCAAAAUAAAUUGCAUGUUUCUCGAGUUUUGAUUUAUUUUAGUUUUCUUUUGUCAAUUUUGAUCAUUAUUGUUAAAUGUGU